AUUAAGUAUAUAUUUAAUCAAAUUGCGUUUGAGCUCAAAGAAAUAGGCCUAUAUAUUAAUCUCCAACAUAAAGUGUAUUUAUAUUUUAAAUUUUAUAGUCGAUAUUUAGAUCUAUAGCCGUUCAAUAAAACAUUAGCCUACUACGGAUUUUGAAUUCGAGUUCGAUCUAUAUUAUCGUGAUUUUUCAUGAACGUCAUUCACACUUUCCUUCUCUAUACUAACCGAUCCAUUAGUGUUUAAACUUAAAACGGGCAAAAUUGAAUGUGCCAUGGCAGACAAAUUCAAUUCUAAAUGUUAUUUUUGAAAUAUUUUAUUGUAUUUAUUAUACUAUCGUCCUAUUAUUACGUAAGGGGAUUUUGUACCAGGUGUGCCUUGCAAUUGGAAAUGUGCCCAAUCUGUAGAUCUGAAAUCAAGUCAAGAUUGGAAAUGACAUGAUCAAAAACUACAAGAUGUCAACGAUUACCUCGCAAGUAUCAUCAGACGAUUGAGUCAUAUAUCUUUCCAGUGGAAACUCAGACAACCUCACUGCUUCACAUAUAGGAAGUUACAAUCAUUUAUGGAUGAUGUCGAAGGAUCCGUGAAGUCGAAAAGAAAGAAAAGAAAAAUCCGUUCAAAAAUGACAUCAGUUUACUUUCUUUAUACUUAUUGUUUUCUCCUAAAAUAAUAGGAAAUUUUGUUAAUAAAGCACGACUGAUUUAUUGUUUGCUUUUAUAUCACGAAUGUUACUACUAUCUUCGAACACUAUCAUCAUUCAGCCAUAAUAUUUAAUUCUUUUUAUCAUUUUAAGAAUCUGGAUACAAAUUCCGGUCUCGUUUGUAUGAUUUAUACAAUGUUAUCGUUGUCCAUCAUACGGAACCGAUAUUAAUAGAAUAAUGAAUGAUAUGUUCUUAUUACAAAAUUUCGAAAAAUUUAUAUUUUUAUUAUUUAUUUAUUUUGAUUUUAAAAUUAAAUU